CCGCACCAAUAAGCGUUGAAAAGCUUCUGGAUGAGCUGAGGGUAGGGGUGAAAGGCUAAUCAAACUUGGAGAUAGCUCGUACUCCCCGAAAUGCAUUUAGGUGCAGCCUUGCGGGUUACUGAUGUGAGGUAGAGCGACUGAUUGGAUGCGAGGGCUUCACCGCCUAUCAAGUCCUGACAAACUCCGAAUGCGCAUCAGUUCUACCGCAGGAGUGAGGGCAUGGGUGCUAAGGUCCGUGCCCGAGAGGAGAAGAAUCCGGACCACCGGCUAAGGUCCCGAAAUGACAGCUAAGUUAAACUAACGAAGUCUGAUUGCUAAGACAGCUAGGAUGUUGGCUUGGAAGCAGCCAUUCAUUUAAAGAGUGCGUAACAGCUCACUAGUCGAGGAAUCGGGCGUGGAUAAUAAUCGGGUAUGAAGUUGUCUACCGAAGCCGUGGGAUCAGCAAUGAUCGGUAGGGGAGCAUUCCAUUCCGCGUCGAAGGCGUGGCGUGAGCCAUUCUGGAGCGUAUGGAAAAGCAAAUGUAGGUAUAAGUAACGAUAAAGGGGGUGAGAAACCCCCUCGCCGAAAGACUAAGGUUUCCUGAUCAACGCUAAUCGGAUCAGGGUCAGUCGGGUCCUAAGGCUCAGCCGAACGGCGAGGCCGAUGGCAGAAACGGUUAAUAUUCCGUUACUACCUUUGAGGGUGACGUGGGGAAGCAGUAGUGACACUGCCGCGGGCUGACGGAAUAGCCCGUUAAAGAGUGUAGGCGUUGAUUUCCGCAGGCAAAUCCACGGAAAGAGCCGAACUUGACAGUAUGGAGCGUCCUUCGGGACAAUCCAACAGCGCAGGUAAUCAGACUGCCGAGAAAAUCCGCUAAACAUAACUUCAGAGGUACCCGUACCGCAAACGGACACACGUAGUCGGGUUGAAUAUACUAAGGCGCUUGGGUGAAUCACGGUUAAGGAACUAGGCAAACUGACCCUGUAACUUCGGGAUAAAGGGUCCCUCCUCGCAAGAGAGGGCGCAGAGAAUAGGUCCAGGCAACUGUUUAACAAAAACACAGGGCUGUGCGAAUAUGAAAGUAGAAGUAUACAGCCUGACACCUGCCCGGUGCUGGAAGGUUAAGAGGAGAUGUCAUCGCAAGAGAAGCAUUGAAUUGAAGCCCCAGUAAACGGCGGCCGUAACUAUAACGGUCCUAAGGUAGCGAAAUUCCUUGUCGGGUAAGUUCCGACCUGCACGAAUGGUGUAAUGAUCCGGACGCUGUCUCAACCGUGAGCCCAGUGAAAUUGUAGUAUCGGUGAAGAUGCCGAUUACCCGCGAUGGGACGAAAAGACCCCGUGAACCUUUACUAUAGCUUAGCAUUGAAUUUGGGCACGCGAUGUGUAGGAUAGGUCGGAGGCUUUGAAGCAGGCACGCCAGUGUUUGUGGAGCCGCUGUUGAAAUACGACCCUUUGUUUGUUUGAAUUCUAACUCUUGGUAAGAGGACAUUGCUUGGUGGGUAGUUUGACUGGGGUGGUCGCCUCCAAAAGCGUAACGGAGGCUUCUAAAGGUGCCCUCAGGACGAUCGGUAACCGUCCGCAGAGUGUAAUGGCAUAAGGGCGCUUGACUGGGAGACAGACAAGUCGAGCAGGUAGGAAACUAGAGCAUAGUGAUCCGGUGUUUCCGUAUGGAAGGGACAUCGCUCAAAGGAUAAAAGGUACUCCGGGGAUAACAGGCUGAUCCCUCCCAAGAGCUCAUAUCGACGGAGUGGUUUG
rnacentral:rRNA from 1 species